CCACCAGAAAGAAAAUGUCUUUAUAAGCUUCAGUCUCUCUUCUCCUCACACUCCAACCCUGCUCACCUCUCAGCUGGACAGUAAGAGACGUUUACACCACACACUGACAACAUGCUGGGGACCCUCUGCACUCUCAUCACUGCUCUAACAUGUGUGAGUGGUGUGACGGUGGUGACACAGAAGCCUCCUGUUGUGACAAUGAGGAAAGGAGAGACAGCCACCAUGGACUGUAACCUGGGAACUGUUACUGGUAGUGCUGCUCGUUGAUACAAACAGAUUCCUGGAGGAGUUCCUCAGUUUGUCUUAAGUUUUCAUCACGGCUGGAGCUCUCC